CACCGCUAUUACUUCCGAUGUCCGCAUGCAAUCAAUUGAUCAUUAUUACUAUGAUUCUCACGGGGCUUAAGAAAGGGGAUGCUGCUAGCUAGAAUCAACAUAUAUGUUAAGAUGUACGGCCAUUAUUUGAUUCAGUGCCUGCCUCACAAGAUAGAUUCAAUUGCUUUGGGAUCACCGUACAGAUUUGUCUUGGGCCACUGCUUGGCACCACAGAACAUCUAGGCAAUUGGAGAUGGUUAGCCAGCUAAUUGUAGUACAAAGAAGGUACUUCACCCACCUUAAUAUGUGAGGGAUAUGCACG
rnacentral:lncRNA from 1 species